rfam:Canis lupus familiaris chromosome 7, whole genome shotgun sequence.
GCCUGGGUGGCUCAGUGGUUGGGCACCUGCCUUUGGUUCAGGUCUGGUCCCAGGAUGCGGGAUAGUGUCCCACACCAGGCU